CCCUUAGAUGUUCUGGGCCGCACGCGCGCUACACUGACGGAGUCAACGAGUUGUCCUGCAUCGGAAGGUGUGGGUAAUCUUUUGAAACUUCGUCGUGCUGGGGAUAGAUCUUUGCAAUUUUCGAUCUUGAACGAGGAAUUCCUAGUAAGCGUGAUUCAUCAGAUCGCGUUGGUUACGUCCCUGCCCUUUGUACACACCGCCCGUCGCUACUACCGAUUGAAUGGUUUAGUGAGGCCUCGGGACUGGCGCGCUCGAGUAGCAAUACACCUGCGCGCCGGGAACUUGGUCAAACUUGAUCAUUUAGAGGAAGUAAAAGUCGUAACA
rnacentral:rRNA from 1 species